AUUGAACGCUGGCGGAAUGCUUUACACAUGCAAGUCGAGCGGCAGCGCGGCCUUCGGGCUGGCGGCGAGCGGCGAACGGGUGAGUAAUGCAUCGGAACAUGCCCAGUCGUGGGGGAUAACACUUCGAAAGAAGUGCUAAUACCGCAUACGUCCUGAGGGGGAAAGCGGGGGAUCGCAAGACCUCGCGCGAUUGGAGUGCCGAUGUCAGAUUAGCUAGUUGGUGGGGUAAAGGCCUACCAAGGCGACGAUCUGUAGCUGGUCUGAGAGGAUGAUCAGCCACACUGGGACUGAGACACGGCCCAGACUCCUACGGGAGGCAGCAGUGGGGAAUUUUGGACAAUGGGGGCAACCCUGAUCCAGCCAUUCCGCGUGAGUGAAGAAGGCCUUCGGGUUGUAAAGCUCUUUCGGCAGGAACGAAACGGUGGGCUCUAACAUAGUCCGCUAAUGACGGUACCUGAAGAAGAAGCACCGGCUAACUACGUG
rnacentral:rRNA from 1 species